AUUGAACGCUGGCGGCAUGCCUUACACAUGCAAGUCGAACGGCAGCACGGGAGCAAUCCUGGUGGCGAGUGGCGAACGGGUGAGUAAUAUAUCGGAACGUGCCCAGUCGUGGGGGAUAACGUAGCGAAAGCUACGCUAAUACCGCAUACGAUCUAUGGAUGAAAGCGGGGGAUCGCAAGACCUCGCGCGAUUGGAGCGGCCGAUAUCAGAUUAGGUAGUUGGUGAGGUAAAGGCUCACCAAGCCGACGAUCUGUAGCUGGUCUGAGAGGACGACCAGCCACACUGGUACUGAGACACGGCCCAGACUCCUACGGGAGGCAGCAGUGGGGAAUUUUGGACAAUGGGCGCAAGCCUGAUCCAGCAAUGCCGCGUGCAGGAUGAAGGCCUUCGGGUUGUAAACUGCUUUUGUACGGAACGAAACGGUGAGCUCUAAUACAGUUUGCUAAUGACGGUACCGUAAGAAUAAGCACCGGCUAACUACGUG
rnacentral:rRNA from 1 species